GCAACUUUUGGAAGGUAACAAAAGAAAAACAAAAUCUUCUUCUCUAUUCCCAUACUCUGCCACGCGAAAAUCAUGAUAACAUCCACAUGGCUCAACAUUUUUCUUCUUCCAUUUCUACCAUUUUAGAAGUUUUGUAUGCAUAGUUCCUCACUUAUAUUCAUCUUAUUCAAUUAGAAGAAGACUCAAAUUUCAGUGAAAUAAUAAAGACACGAAGCUAGGGUUUAGGAAGGUUUUGGGGAAAUUGAAGAAUCUCAAAAUUCUCACUAAUUCCAUCAAUUUCUUGUUUGGUGAUCAAAUUACCGGUGAGUUUCCUAAAUUAGGUUAUGAAUCUUUUAGAAGUAGUCAAAUUAGAAUUUAAGAUUUAAUGUAAUUUAGAAAUAGAAAUCUCAUUGUGAUUUUCAUAAGCAGUAGUUCAACUCUUAAAAAAAUCAAUGAUUACAAGAUUUGAGUUAAGCCUUUUACGGUAGAGAAUUUAUUGAGUGGAUACUAUUGUGUAGAUUUUUUAUAUGAGAGUAACAUGUUGAUUUUAAAUUGUUUUGAUCCCUCAACACUUAUUUUGUUAGUUUUCUUCCUUGAGCGUAUAAUUUAGUGGACAAUUUGGUGUUUGUGAAAUAUUUGUGGUGAAAACAUAAAAAUAAAGAUAUGGACUGUGAUUUGAAAUUUAAAUUGAAGCCGUUUGCUGCAACGAAGAGAGAAUGCAGCCUAUGAACAAUUGUUCAUAGUAUAUUUUUAAGUAGAUAUCCGUUCGCCACUACGAAGAGAUAAGGUGGUAUCCGUUCGCCACUACGAAGAGAUAAUGUGGUAUCCGUUUGCCACAACGAAGAGAUAAUGUGGUAUCCGUUCGCCACUACGAAGAGAUAAGGUGGUAUCCGUUCGCCACUACGAAG
rnacentral:lncRNA from 1 species